GCAAUAGAAGCUGAAUUAGAGUGUCGGCCUUGUAAGUCGAAGGUUGAAGGAUAGUCCUUUUUAUUGCU
rnacentral:tRNA from 1 species